UACGUAGGGUGCGAGCGUUGUCCGGAAUCAUUGGGCGUAAAGAGCGUGUAGGCGGCCACUUAAGUCCUGCGUGAAAUCUUGCGGCUCAACCGCAAGCGGUCGUGGGAAACUGGGUGGCUAGAGUGUGGUAGGGGAGACUGGAAUUCCUGGUGUAGCGGUGAAAUGCGCAGAUAUCAGGAGGAACACCGAUGGCGAAGGCAGGUCUCUGGGCCACUACUGACGCUGAGAAGCGAAAGCAUGGGGAGCGAACAGG
rnacentral:rRNA from 1 species